GAAGAGCAAAGUCAACUUCAAAAUCUUAUAAAAUAUAACAAAUGUGUUGCACUUAUUUGUUUCGCGCGAAAGAAAAAAAGUGUUUUGAUAUAAUUGUGUCUUAUUUUUAUUUUUUAAAGGCUUAAUUGCACUUUUGCCCCCUAUCUUUUGCCAAUUGUACGAUUUUGCAUCCAAUCCUUUUAAUUGAACGAUUUUGUACACUCUCUUUUGCCCCCUUUCUGGUUCGAUGGCCC
rnacentral:lncRNA from 1 species